AUCNGGCUUACCNUGCAAGUCGAGGGGCAGCAUGUAACUUAGCCUUGCUAAGUUUGAUGGCGACCGGCGCACGGGUGAGUAACACGUAUCCAACCUGCCGAUGACUCGGGGAUAGCCUUUCGAAAGAAAGAUUAAUACCCGAUGGCAUANUUCUUCCGCAUGGUAGAANUAUUAAAGAAUUUCGGUCAUCGAUGGGGAUGCGUUCCAUUAGGUUGUUGGCGGGGUAACGGCCCACCAAGCCUUCGAUGGAUAGGGGUUCUGAGAGGAAGGUCCCCCACAUUGGAACUGAGACACGGUCCAAACUCCUACGGGAGGCAGCAGUGAGGAAUAUUGGUCAAUGGACGAGAGUCUGAACCAGCCAAGUAGCGUGAAGGAUGACUGCCCUAUGGGUUGUAAACUUCUUUUAUACGGGAAUAAAGUGAGGCACGUGUGCCUUUUUGUAUGUACCGUAUGAAUAAGGAUCGGCUAACUCCGUGCCAGCAGCCGCGGUAAUACGGAGGAUCCGAGCGUUAUCCGGAUUUAUUGGGUUUAAAGGGAGCGUAGGCGGACGCUUAAGUCAGUUGUGAAAGUUUGCGGCUCAACCGUAAAAUUGCAGUUGAUACUGGGUGUCUUGAGUACAGUAGAGGCAGGCGGAAUUCGUGGUGUAGCGGUGAAAUGCUUAGAUAUCACGAAGAACUCCGAUUGCGAAGGCAGCUUGCUGGACUGUAACUGACGCUGAUGCUCGAAAGUGUGGGUAUCAAACAGGAUUAGAUACCCUGGUAGUCCACACAGUAAACGAUGAAUACUCGCUGUUUGCGAUAUACAGUAAGCGGCCAAGCGAAAGCGUUAAGUAUUCCACCUGGGGAGUACGCCGGCAACGGUGAAACUCAAAGGAAUUGACGGGGGCCCGCACAAGCGGAGGAACAUGUGGUUUAAUUCGAUGAUACGCGAGGAACCUUACCCGGGCUUGAAUUGCAACUGAAUGAUGUGGAGACAUGUCAGCCGCAAGGCAGUUGUGAAGGUGCUGCAUGGUUGUCGUCAGCUCGUGCCGUGAGGUGUCGGCUUAAGUGCCAUAACGAGCGCAACCCUUAUCGAUAGUUACCAUCAGGUUAUGCUGGGGACUCUGUCGAGACUGCCGUCGUAAGAUGUGAGGAAGGUGGGGAUGACGUCAAAUCAGCACGGCCCUUACGUCCGGGGCUACACACGUGUUACAAUGGGGGGUACAGAAGGCAGCUACACGGCGACGUGAUGCUAAUCCCUAAAGCCUCUCUCAGUUCGGAUUGGAGUCUGCAACCCGACUCCAUGAAGCUGGAUUCGCUAGUAAUCGCGCAUCAGCCACGGCGCGGUGAAUACGUUCCCGGGCCUUGUACACACCGCCCGUCAAGCCAUGAAAGCCGGGGGUACCUGAAGUGCGUAACCGCAAGAGCGCCCUAGG
rnacentral:rRNA from 1 species